GGAAGUAAAAGUCGUAACAAGGUUUCCGUAGGUGAACCUGCGGAAGGAUCAUUAAAGUGGAUGAGAUGGUAGAUUUAUUACUAGUUUAGUUUUUUUCUGGACUAGAACCAACAAUUAUUUUAACAAUAACUAUGAGAAUGAUUACAUGAGCACCUUGCUGCAAUGGAUCUCUCGGCUCUUGCAUCGAAGAAGAACGCAGUCCAUUGCGAAAAGUCAUGCGACCUGCACCUUUUGAGAAGCAUUACUCUUUGAACGCACCUUGCGCGUGGAAUUAACAUUUCACGAGGUCCUGUUUGAGCAAGAUUACUAGUGGUAGAACUUGACUGUUGGAUUACUAUUCGAUGGUUUAAAAAAAUGCAGAUUAGCUAGCCUGAACGACUCUAAGGCACAGUGAUGAAGUAGUAAAGUGACUGGAACAUGUUCAAGUAUCAUGGCCCAGCACUAGCAAAUUUAUCAACUGCAAGAACGAGCAAGGAUACUCAACUAUCCUCGCUCAACGAUGUAC
rnacentral:rRNA from 1 species